rnacentral:rRNA from 1 species
GACGAACGCUGGCGGCGUGCCUAACACAUGCAAGUCGAACGGGGUAAUUUCUUCGGAGAUUACUUAGUGGCGAACGGGUGAGUAACGCGUGAGAAAACUGCCUUUCAGUGGGGGACAACAGUUGGAAACGACUGCUAAUGCCGCAUAAUGUAAUUUGGGGGCAUCCCUGAAUGACCAAAGAUUUAUUGCUGAAAGAUGGUCUCGCGUCUGAUUAGCUAGUUGGUGAGGUAACGGCUCACCAAGGCGACGAUCAGUAGCCGGGCUGAGAGGAUGAACGGCCACAUUGGGACUGAGAUACGGCCCAGACUCCUACGGGAGGCAGCAGUGGGGAAUAUUGGGCAAUGGGGGAAACCCUGACCCAGCAACGCCGCGUGAAGGAAGAAGGCCUUCGGGUUGUAAACUUCUUUUACCAGGGACGAACAAAUGACGGUACCUGGAGAAAAAGCAACGGCUAACUACGUGCCAGCAGCCGCCGUAAUAC